AAAGUAAUUAAAUAACAAAUAAUCAUCAGAGUAUUUCACCAAACGGGUAUGCUACAUUGCAAUUUCAAAAUUUCUUAAAUAGAAAAUAGAACUAUUUAAUUAAACCACUUGAUAAAAAUGAAAACAUAGCAGCGGAAUAGUUUUCAAUCCAACAUCAGCCUACGACAUUAAAGGCCUUGGCAUAAUCCAACAACAUUGUUCAAAAGAUAGUAAAGGCUCCACAUCACAAUUCCAAAAUUUGAUACAUGGAAAGGAAAAGAAACAACAAUAAUAUAAAUGACAGUUCCCAUCCCACGUAUCAGAGCCCUAGACACGACUCUUGAGCCACCACCAACUACUCAGGAUCACCUGCAAGUUACCCAUAGGAAGGGCAACAUUUUCAAGCAGAAGGGGUGAGAUUCACAACA
rnacentral:lncRNA from 1 species